UAUAUAGUCGAAUGAUGCCAUUUAUACAUUUCUAGAUGUAGUUGUGUCACUUUUUCUAUGCCUUGAUAUGUUAUUGUUUCAUGAAAAAAAAACACAAUUCAUCUGUUGUGGAGCCUUCAAAAGCAAUCUUAGUGAUCAAUUGCCCUGGUUUAUCAUUUUCCAACACUUCACACAGAUUCAGCAUCUGAUAAACUACAGGACCUGUUAAAAUUGAGAAGAAUCUCAGAUGUCAAAACAGUCUCCAGCAUCUUAUUCAACAAGUCCUCCAACUCAUACGACCGUAAAGGUCGUUUGUCACUAUCUUCAAAUACGACCCAUACGAGCGUUCCCUAGAUUAGCGCCCCUACCGGCAACAGGAGAUACUACAGAUAUUUUCGCCUAAAUGCAUUGUGGGUUUCUUUUAAAAUGCUUGCUAUUUGCGUUUUAAACUCUCCCGGCUAUUCAAAGUGUUUUAUUGCUAAAAAGAUAUGGAUUUUAGAUAACUUCAAGACACGUACAGGUAGAGUUUCCACCCGUCUCGUAAAGUAACGUUAGUCGAUCGUCCCGUAUUUAUGAAUGAAAUUAUGUCGUGUUUCAAAUCGAUACUGUACACUGUUUGUCCCAUUAUUUCAACAUGUUUGACGUUCAGAUCGUUCAAGUGGACCCUGCCAGCAUUAUAAAUUUCUUCAGAUCACAUACAUCUCCAUCUCCUACAACAACCUUUAGUGACCAGCAGCUGUUUAACAGCUCUCUCUCUCUCUCUCUCUCAGCUUUUCCUUGCCUAUUUUUCUGAACUGUUAUUCAUAAUUAAUUUACACAUUUUUGCUCUCUUUCUUCCUUUCUCUUUUUCAUCAUGGCAUAUUUUCAAAGCUCAGAAUUGAAUUUUGAUCGGUUAUGUCAAAAAGCUGCUAAUAUUAACAGCUAAAAAGGAAGACCAAAGGAAGGCCUGUCGAACUCUUGUCUUGUCUUGUUUGUGGAGAGGGAUGAAUUUGGCCAUCUUGUGUGUUUAUGGAGAAGACCAAAAGCUGCAAAGGCAAACAUUUCCAAUGGUAAAAACAGAGAGUUUGCAUGAUGGCCUUUUUCAGUUUUGUCAACUGAACAGCUGCUAGUGAGAGUCAGCGAGUUCUUGUCAUGAUGAGCCCUCGCCAGCAUUAAUUAAACAUGGGGUCAAUAGAUAUUUUCUUGUUUUACAACCAAAAUGGAAGACCAAAAACACAAAGAAAAUCAAUCACAGCAAGCCAGUCAAACCAGUCCUGUUGGGAAUGAACAUGGUCUUCUUGUGCCCAAACAGAGAAGACAGAGAACUGAAAAUUUGCACAUUUCCAUUGCUCCUAGAAUGAGCAAAUAAGCUGUGCAUCAUCUCUGGAAUUUGGGAAGGAAAUGACCGAAUAUGGUGAGUACUGACACCUGCACCUAUUCACCAAAACUAUCCCAGAUAGCAAAAUUUGUCUGGCCCACCUCUGGGCCACAACCUUGCUUCACUUCUGGCCCAGUUCUGGCUGGGUCCCCGGCCCAAAACUGGCACACACACUGAAAACCGACUCAAACAAUUUCCUCUGGCCCAGAUGUGGCCCACAACCUGUAAAAUGACUCUUAUUUAUUGACGUGGCCCAGAUCUGGCCCGCAUACUGUAGAGUGACUUCUAUUAUUUUAUGUGGCCCAGGUCUGGCCCAGACACUUUAAGCCAGAUCUGGCUGAGACUCGGCUUGGUCCCCGGGCCGAAUGUGGCCCAGAAACUGCUAAAUGUAAUUCAGCAGUAAAACACAAAUACAACCAUUUAAAAACAUUAAAAAGGCUUUAAUUAUAAAAUUACCAAAUACUUUAAAUAUACAUGAACAAAUGCACUACAGUAUAAACAUUCACACUUU